UUGUUUCUCAGAGUCCAUAGUCCCUCAUGCUUCAAGAAAAGCGUGUUUAAAUAAUCAGGUGAUUCACCAGAGAAAACAUUCUUGAAAACUGCUGUAGUCAUCACGACUGAGAAAGGACGGCUGCACGUUCUGAUGGAGUCCAAGCAAUAAAAAAGGAGGGGAACAGUUUCCUACGUCUCUUGCACGGAGUCAGGCAGAGUCUUCAGAGGUGGCGCCGCCACCCCAGCGGAGGUGACGGUGGGCGGAGCCGGAGCCGGGGGAGUGGGCGUGGCUCCUCCGGGGCAACAGGGACCUGCUGGAAACCAACCAACUCCUCGUCCGGCCCUCGCCGCUGCCUCCCACAGCCGAUGGCACUGAUGGUCCGCGGGAGGCUGAUGAUUUUACAUUGGAUCUUCUUUGAAAACUUGUUUUUUACAGGUACGCAAUAUUGCAUGGGGUGGCCACAUCCUAAUGCAAUCCCCAUCAGGUACUGGUGCUCCUUCCCAGUUUCCACUCCUUCAUAUCAUCCAAAAUGGACAUCCUGUUUUGCAAUUUCAAGCUUAUUCCUGUAAAUCCCCACCUCUCUUGGUGAUCUCUCCGAGGAUCAGGUUUCGAUCUUCCCGUAAUGAAUGAUGCAUUCUCUUCUGUUGGACUCACACACCACAUUUCUCACUCUCUCUGCCCCUGGGCCACCACCUUUUGUUUGUGAAGGGACCUGAGGUCUGAGGCAGCCCCAAGUUGUUAUAAGUUUUAGAUCAUUCCUCCCGUGACUCACCCAAGCAUUCUGAAGGGUGCAUGGAGGUUGGGAAGCCUGUGCCCAUGUCUCCAUGACACCCAGAGAACAAAUGACCGUUUAUCCUACCUUGGAUGGCCAUGUUGGAAUUCCCGUUGGAAGCCCUGCCAGCUCGCCAGCGUGUGCAGCUGCUCCCAGAAUCUUGUCACUGUUGUCCAGCACCAAGCUGGCCAUUUGUUCCAUGUGCUCGGCUUCUGACGCCUGUGCACCCUAUGAGGGCGGCGAGCAUACUGUCCUUGCUCCUUGUCGAGCCUUUGGGGCCCCGGGAGUGUUCAGUUAGUACCCGUUGAACAGAUGAGUGGAUGGAUCAGUAGAAAAGGAGGGAGCAGAUGGUGCUGGCUCUGCCCUCUGGGCGAUGGGACUGUGGACCCAUGUGGAUCAGAGUGCAGGAAGGGGAAGGGGGCUGCCCCUUCUGGGGUCUGAGUGUCUUCCCUCUUCCCAGGGUGAUACACUCUCCUCACAGCCAAGCCAGCAGGGAUGGGCAGUCCAUCCGCACCCACACCCAGGAUGUCAUCUCAAAUGGUCAAAUCCUCGAGAACUCAUGACUGAGAGCAGGCCCCUCGACACAUGAGCCCCAGAGUGAGAUAGCCGAGGGGAACCUGGGCACACGGGUGGUAGUUCAGACCUGCCAGGUUCAGAUAUCAGCUCUGCCAGACCUCGCGGUGGGGUACAAGGCAAUGUUUGCAGGCACAGCUUUCCUAGUCCUCAGCACUGCUCAUCCGCUGGAGGGGUUGCAGGGGUGCAGGUAAAGGGCGGAGGCAUGGGCUGUGCUACAAAGGUGUUCCGGUGGGCAGAAGCCUGAUGAUCCCGGGUAUUGAGCAGGGAAAUGAAAAAAAAAUGUCUACCCAGAUUAUUCCUUUUUGUGCCCUGAGUUUCUUCUCUGUGUCAAAUCGAGACCUGAGUCUUAUGCUCUGGUCAUCGGUCAGAAGGGGAGCUAGAAAAACAAAGAAACGACACAUGGUGAUAGAGGCAAUGAUAAAUGCGUGUAUCGACAGCAGAGCAAUGCCAGGAAGCUGAUGGCUUGCUAGUUUAGCAGACAAGCAAGAAGUCACCAGAAGGGCCACUGUUGUUCGUUCGUGCCCCAGCCCUGAGAAGAGCCAGACAGGGGGACAUUGCUUCCCUGCAGGUCAUGGAACGUCCCCCUACCCCACUCUCCCAGGGCAGCCACCCGCCCCUUCCAGUCACUGACCAAAGGCUCCAAUCUCUACCCAGUGUACACAGCCUGGUUCUUUCCUUUUUCAGGGCCAGAAGGCAGAGCAGGAAUAAGUCGGCUUGGAGUAUGUUUAUGUAUACGUGUGUGUAUAGGUCUGCGCACAUAUAUGUGAUGUGUUAAUGUAUAAAAAUAAAUCAAUCUGUAAUAGUGUAUGUAUAUAGAACAUAACGUCAUCAUGUAAGAUAUGUACUAUAAAAGCAAUAAUGUUUGCGGAUAAUGUAAUCGAGAGGGUGGCACCUUUAAUCACAGGGAAGGGAUGACUGACUGGGGGUCACUCGGGGUGUCUGCCACAUAGUGUGACAUGGACACUGGGACUUUUCAAAUGCCUGAGACAAUUUGAAUUGCAGCAAAAUUUGAGAAAAUGAUCCAAGGAACUUUGCUGUCAGCUAAUGACAGAAGCAGGUUGUGUCUACUCCUGCAGGCGCUGCCCAGUCCAGGCCCAGCUGCAGACUUGUUCAUCUGGGAACACUCAUCAGAUGUCCUGGGGGAGAUGUGCCAGGUGCACCUGGGUGCACUGAUUGGAAUUUUGGAAGAAAGGGACGAAUGACCUGAUUAAUUUAGUAAAUUAUUUAAA